rnacentral:rRNA from 1 species
UACAGAGGGUGCGAGCGUUAAUCGGAAUUACUGGGCGUAAAGGGUGCGUAGGUGGUUAUGUAAGUUAGGUGUGAAAUUCCUGGGCUUAACCUGGGGACUGCGCCUGAUACUGUGUAGCUAGAGUACUGUAGAGGAAAGUGGAAUUUCCGGUGUAGCGGUGAAAUGCGUAGAUAUCGGAAGGAACAUCAGUGGCGAAGGCGACUUUCUGGACAGCUACUGACACUGAGGCACGAAAGCAUGGGGAGCAAACAGG